GCCAGAGUGGCGAAAUUGGCAGACGCGCCAGCCUUAGGAGCUGGUUCCUUAACUGGAUUAAGGGUUCGAGUCCCUUCUCUGGCACGA
rnacentral:tRNA from 1 species